GGGCCGUUCCUGACGCUGAGGCGCGAAAGCUGGGGGAGCGAACCGGAUUAGAUACCCGGGUAGUCCCAGCCCUAAACGAUGCGGGCUAGGUGUCGGCCCGUUAUUGGGUCGGUGCCGCAGCUAACGCGUUAAGCCCGCCGCCUGGGGAGUACGGUCGCAAGGCUGAAACUCAAGGGAAUUGACGGGGGCCCGCACAAGCGGCGGAGCAUGUGGUUUAAUUCGAUGCUAAGCGAAGAACCUUACCCGGGCUUGACAUGCGGGUGGUACCGACCCGAAAGGGAAGGGACCCAGGGCCUUCGGGCGCCUGGGAGCCCGCACAGGUGCUGCAUGGCUGUCGUCAGCUCGUGUCGUGGGACGUCGGGUUAAGUCCCAGAACGAGCGCAACCCCUGCCCCAGUUACCAGCGGACCCCUUCGGGGGUGCCGGGGACUCUGGCGGGACUGCCGGCGUUCAAGUCGGAGGAAGGGGGGGAUGACGUCAAGUCAUCAUGGCCCUUAUGCCCGGGGCUACACACAUGCUACAGUGCCCGGUACAAAGGGACGCGAACCCGCGAGGGGGAGCCAAUCCCAAAAAGCCGGGCAUGGUUCGGAUUGCAGGCUGCAACCCGCCUGCAUGAAGUGGGAGUCGCUAGUAAUCGCGGGUCAGCUACACCGCGGUGAAUACGUACUCGGGCCUUGUACACACCGCCCGUCACACCAACCGAGUGGGGGGUACCUGAAGUCGCCCGAAGAGGGCGCCGAAGGUACCUUCGGCGAGGGGGGUGAAGUCGUAACAAGGUAGCCGUAGGGGAACCUGCGGCUG
rnacentral:rRNA from 1 species